CAUGUAAGUACCACAAAUUCCUAGAAAUUUGCCACUGUUUUCCACUUUCAUUUGCAUAUCUUCCAGAGCAAACUUGGGGAUCCAGAGGUUUCCAGUAGCUCUCCAUUGGACCCACCUCACGUUCCUCUGGGAGAUGGCCCUGGCUCUGGCAGAGCAAAGCAAGGGGCACGGGGCAGGCACGGGGGUCACAGCAGCUCCCCAGCAGCUGCACCAGCUCCUCUCGGCUGCAAUGUGACAGGAACUGUCCCUGGAGAGCUCCCAGAGCCUCUGGCCCUCACAGGCACGAAGGUGAUGCCAGGAGCAUUCCCAGCUUGUCUCCAGCCACUGCAGCACCACCAAACCACUCUGUGAGUGCUACAGGAGGUGCAGAGGCAGCAGCAAACCUGGCUCAACUCCAGCUUUAUUUCCCUGUCUUCAUCACAGCGAGUCUCCUCCACCAGCAACUUGGUUAUGUUGUAUUUUAAUAAAUUCAACACAAGAGGCCUCCACUAGCCCGUUCUUCAAUUAAGUCCACAUUUUAUUUAUGGUUUGCUGUUGGUACUUCAAUCAGAUUUAUAUAUACAUAAUCUAAAACCUACAUCAAAACCAUGUUGACUGCUCUGAAGACCGAGAGAAGUGACACGAUUGAAGUUUUCUUCCACAGCUCUAUGAUUAACACCUGGGUUGAUCUGCAGAAUUCUGGCUUUUCACACGCCCACGUCUCCCUUCCUAAACCCUCACCAACACAGCUGGAAAACCAAGUCCCUCCCUGCGAUUGCUGCAUAAUUUGAACAUUAAUUACGAGAGGAUCUGAUGCUGCUUCACACGGGAGGCAGCACGAGAGGCUGAGGAGAAGCGCUUGGGAGUCCUCACGGUGCCACCUGCAAAAUGCCAGCUCCUUCACUUGGAUGCACACACAGGUACCCCAAACAAUUCCAUUUAUCCCCAGGGAGGCAGGGAUGCCCGUGCCUGCCCAGCAAACAGCCCCACCAGGAAUUUGUGCACCUUGGCCUGGCCCAGGGCAGCUCCCGCACGGCCGGAGCCGCUCCCGGCAACGAACGACAAGAGGUAGAAAGUAUUCACAGAAGCAGCUUGGCCCUCGCUCAGCCCAUCCCUGCCUUUAUUUGCUCAGAGGAUUAGACUUAGUACAGAUCUUAGAGAAGAAGAAGAAGAAUAGAAAAUGCUUUACAUGCUACUUAAUCGGAAGUUCCUGCUCGGAACAGCCCCGGAGCGCUGUGGUUCAGGACGGGUCCCGCACAAAGGCUCAGCAGCUGCUGCCACGGGGCUGCGUGGGGCCAGGCAAAGCACAGCUCCAGCUCCCCAGGGAUUUCCCACAGCACGACCUCUCCCUUCAGCAAAAUAUUCCCAUUUCUGCUAUUUCACCUGUCCUCAGUCACGCACAGGGCAGACAGAAUUGGUGAGUAUCAGUAAGUCCUGAAGAAUUCAUCUUCACAUUUCUAAGCUUUGGAAUUUGCUUCCAGAAGACCUUCUGAGGACUUUAAAGCACCUACCAGAUAUUUAAAUACAAUCAAGUAUAUUAAGUGUCCAACUUUUCAGUUCGCCUUCUUUUCCAGAGUAGAUUCCAGCAAAACCUACUGCUUUUAUUCACCUGUAGAAUAAUGGUUCAAUAUAGAAAAUGGAGGGAAAAAAUACCCCAAACAACAACCAACCGAAGAAAAUCAAUAAGCUACAAGCUAUUAGAAUUCCAGACUGCCAUCAGCAGCACAAAGCUUUCCUAUCCCACAUAAAUGAGAAGAUUUAAGAGGUGACAAAGCCCACCUGGUCAAGGCUGUGGCUGCUGCUACUGCACUGUGAAAGGCUCCAGGCUGCCUGGCAAACGUGGGGGCUUUUUGGGUUUUUCCCUUGCAGCAGCAAACAGCAGGGCAGCAGGUGUGGGUAAAGACAGGAGGUAAACAAUCAUCAUGGCAAGUGAAGGGAUUUGAUUCCAAGAAAAUACAAAAAUAUUGAAUAUAAAAAUGAUCCUUGCAAUCCAGAGUGAAAAACUCUGUAAGACAGAAUCACAAGAAAUGACGGACAGGAAUUUAAGAGUGAGGGACAAGAACUGAGCAGCAUUUCAAUAAAUAAAGCUACAAAAAAGGCCAAUAAUACCUUUAAAAGCUGCACCUACAGAGGUAUCACUACAGCAAAGGAACAGAACUGCUCACUUAAUGGCUCAGGUGAAACCACACUUGGAAAGCAUUCAUCCAGCCCUGGGCAUUGUAUGAAAACAGGAACAGCACGACACCACAGCAGAAAUGUGGAUCAGGGAACAGCUUAUGGGGGAAAACCAAACAUUUACACAUUUUGCUCUGGUGUGGACUAAAGGGGACAUCACUGCAACUGCAGACUGUGCAGCUCACACCACUUAGGGCAAAAUACACCAAUUUACUGGAAUAGUAGUUGCAAAUUAGAACAAAAAUUAACAUUAUCAGACAUUUUGAAUACUAUAGAAACAGAGAAGGGCAUGAUCUUGUUUUCCUGCACUGGAUGUUUUGCUAUGCUCAGAUUGUAGAUGAAGUCAUGGAACCUUUUUCCUCUUGUUUUCAUUACUCAAGGUUAUCUAAUGGUUAAAAACUAGAAGACAUUUUUUUGCACAUUAUUUUGACCACUGAACAAUGACCCUGUCGUUUCAGAACUGUGCUGAUAUGAUUUAAGGCUAUAUUAAAUUCUUCCAAGGAAACAGCCUGUAGGUCAGUUUUAUUAUCAAAAAGUGGCUUCAAGGAGUUCUAAAGCUAAAAAAUACAGAGUUGGGUAUUUAAAAAUCUGAUUAAAAGUUAGCCCUUAUUCAGGAGUGUUUUUCUCCUUCAGAAACUGGUUCCCCUGUGCUUGUUUUGAUUUGUCUGCAAACAAGAGCUCUGUCUUCUGUGCCACCCACUGACUGAGCUGGCUUGACCCCAACAUAUCACCAACUUCCACUCUUACAGUGCUGAAAUCAACUGAACCCACACAAAUGCUGCUGAAAUCCAUGGAUCCACCACAACUUGCAUUAGAAAAUCAGAGUGCAGGAUGGGGAUGUCUGAAUUUAACGGCUGGAAUCCCUUGUCAACGCUUCCAGACACAGCCUACCCCUAACAGGCACUGCAGGGGUGGGGCUGUGCACUUGCUCUUGUGAAAAAAUGACACAGGAAUGGCUACUGCACACUUAAAAACAGCUCAGGGGAGACUUUUAUACCUUAGAAAUAAAAGGAAAUUUAUGGUAAGAACCUCUCCAGUGUGAAAAGUGACAGUGCUCGGGGUGGGUUAAAGCCCUUCCCCCAGUCUGGAUCAGAGGCCAAGUGUCAGCCAAGAGUGUGCUGACAUGGCAACCCCACUGGAAGGCAGGGACAGGGACACCCUGGAAUGGCACAUAGGGCACAUACAGCUCACUCUGAGCCCAGCUGCCAGCCAGGAGAAAAUUCAUUGAGCUCUUAAGAGUGGUUUGGUGUCACCUUCCCCACUAGACCACCUGCAAGGAGAGCAGGAAUCCUGCAGGAGGAAGCAGCUGGGAUCCUUCCACUCUGCCUUCUGCCACUGCAGCACCUCGGCGCAGCACGUGGUUUGUGCAAGACAUUUCCUACUGCUCCCAGAAUGCCUCUUCUGUCUGGCUCUAGGCAAGGCAGCUGCAGACUUCAUUCCCAAGACCUCAUGGCUGUGGGAAAGUGGUAACAUGAACAUGAUGGAGAGUAUGAAAAGUAAGAAGACAGAGAGCCAAAAUCACUGUUGUCCUGUUUAUGCUGUGCUGGAGCAGAGCCACAAAUGGGAAACUCCCACACCUGUCCUAAGAAAUGUGAGGUUGGCAUCAGCAUCUCACCCUCCCAAAAAUAAAGGUGUGUCUUUUGCCAAGGGAGAGAGAAUUUGCUUCCAAUGUGGAAUUGAGAGUGUGGGAUAACAAGGUUUAACCAAGAUAUUUAAAUGCUUAAUUGGUUACUCUGCAAAUUUCCCAAUAUGCCACUUCUUCCUCCAAUUUAUACAGUCAAGUCUUUAACUUCAUUUCUAGUUAAAUUCAUUGCACUGAAAGCUUCCCUGUAAUGCCCAGUAACUGGAACUCAUGCCAACAAAAACAUGGAGCCGCUUUGCCCUGACACAGUUCAUCAGCCUAUUCAUUUCUGGCAAAAGACUUAAGAGGUAGACAAAAUUUAUUGAAACCAAAAAUGAAGUAAACUGCUACAGCAGCCAAUUUUUGCCCAUUUUAACUGUGGCAGAAUGGCUAAUCUCAUUCUCUCCUGGAUCUCAGGAAAUAAACAGGAAGUUUUGGAACCGUAAGUGCUUUUUCAUGAUACAUAUGCUAAAACACACAAGCUAGGCACAACAGAGUGGCUGAGAAGGCAUAACAGCAAAUAUAACACAAAUCUCUCAUGUUGCUUAAAGUUUCACUCAGAAAAAGAAAAAAAUAAAUGUCAAUGGGGGAAUUUAAUUUCUUUCUGGCUUGAUUUCAGCAAGAUACACAAGCUUGAAAAACAGAGAACUCAAAUUUUCAGAGCUUGUAGUCAGCUGGGAAAAUAAUGUGAAAAAAUCCAAAUCAAGCAGAGCCCUGUUCUGCUUGUCCAUUCCCACAAGUUCAGGUCCUGCAGGACAAACAAGCUUUGAUAGAACCCUGAGCCAUCUCCUUGUUGUCAAAGGGGUAACUCAGGUGCAGGUGACCAACUCUGUGACCAAAACAUAGCACAUUUACUGAUACACAAACAGUGACUGAAUUCUUUUUAUAUAUGGCUGUACUAUUUUUAACACUGACAGCAGCAAGUGUUAAAAGCUUAAUGCAGUCACUAAACAACCACAAUCCAAAUGUACAAGAUGGAGAAAUUCUGCUCAGUAAGGUUAUGGAUUUCCCCCAAGGUCAAACUACACACUAACCCUGACUCAACAUCACCUAUGGAUUUUCAGUUUCUAUGUAUUCCAUGUUACACCGCCAGGAACACCAGGAAUUGCUUUACUAUUUAUUGGCUCAUUUAUAUGGAAGACCAGAGAUUCCCUAGAAACUGUUCUAAACAGAAAACAGGACUGAAAUCAGUGAUGGGGGAAUUAGAUCUUUAGGCACUUUGAGGGGUACUGCUCUAGAGUGUGCCAUCACCAACGAGGUAUCGCCAGGAGCAUCGCCUGGAGCCACCUGCCAAAAUGCUGCCACAGAAACGUGCAUAUCAAACUUUUUGCUUGUACAGUAUGUGUUAAGAAGUACAAUUCAAAAUGGUUUUGCCCAGAGUGAAGAAAACAUUGCACCUUCCACUGGAGCUGCCUGUUUAAAAAGCAACAGCUGCAGCAAACAAUAUGGGUUUACCCUUCUUCAUGUCACAGAGAUGCACAAAAUCCUCAGUUUGCUGCCUGGAAAACAACUGCCACUGCAGCCAUUCCCAGUUCUGGGGCAGGGCUGGGUAUGGCUGGAGAAAGCCACAGCCUUAAAGUGUCACAGGUUGGACAUGUCUCUACAAUCAUUGCACUAUUAAAAGCAAACACAUUUGGCAAGGCUGAACUAGCACAUUAUAUAUUUUACCUAUAUAGUACAGAAAACGUAAUAAUCGCCUCUGAGAUAGCCUGUUUAACAAUUACUGGUCCAAAUAAAUAUUUCAACUUGAGAACUCAGGGUAGAAUUUUUGUAGUUAAAACCUCCAACAAGCAUCCCCAAACAUAAAUGGGAACACGUUAUCCAAAUUUACUAAAUCCAGGUAAAAUGGUAUUACUAAAAAACUAUGAAGAAAAUCUGAAUUAACUUGAGCACUAGGAAAAACAUGGAAGCAUAAAAGUGAUCAUUGCUACACAGCAUAUUCAAAAAUCUUCUGUGUCUCUCCCUUGUUACACUAAAUGCCUAAGAAUGCACUUGGACUGAAUUUUCCAUUGUUCAUUUCAAAACUACGGACCUUUAAUUUGAUAAGCAGCUUUGUUUCUAUCAACUCAUUUGUAAAAAACACCAUCAAGCUUGUGCUCUUAAAUAUAUAUAUGUAUAUAUAAAAACAUACAAAAAGUACAAGAUAAAUCACAUUAAGAAACUUUUACAGUGUAAUUGUCCUGAUUAUUUUAUUCUUGAGGGCCAAUUUUUUUUUUUUUUGUGCACAGAAUCUCAAUGUGACUGUUGUUCCAGAAUUCAGCAUAGUGCCACUGCACAGAAUUCACCUUUCUGUGCAGUCCAUUAAAAAACAAAACCCCAAAAAACAACACACACCACAGGACAAAACAUUCUUCUUAAAUCAAAUUCUAUUUGUGAAUUCAGCAAAAUAAUUUCUAUAAAAUAAAACAGCAAAAUAUUUAAAUAGUAUAGGGUGGGCUGUAUCUGUUUUGCAGGGGUAUUUGGUUUUUAGACAGGUUCCAAAAAAAUUACACACAUUCAAGUUACCAAUUUUCAUUUAAAUACAGUAUUUACUGAUGCGUUUCUUUAAGUCUUUAAACAAAUGUUUAUUCUGGAAUAGAGAUACCUCAGAAUUGUACUUGACUAACCAGUAGUUUCUUUUAUAUUUAAACCCUGCUUCUAAUGUUAAGAUUUUCUGUAUAAUGGAUAAAGAGCUAAGACAAUUCUCGCUUUCAAGUAGAACUGUGAACGAGCAGAAAACCAGCAAGUUAACUUGGUGCAGUGGCACUCACAAGUACUCUGUGAUUUUGUUGACUUCCACUUCACUGGGAUGCAGUAGAAGGAAAGUGUUAGAAGUUUAUCUAAUAAGCUCUACCAAAGAAACAAAACAAGCACACCAAAUACAGUCUAUUAUGCUCCAGGCAUCCUGGCAUAGCAAAUUUUUGCAUAUUUGUUUUAAAUCUUUUAAAUUCCUAUUACUGAAAACUAAGUGUUCUUUAUCCCACCCAGAGAGAGAACUGUCAAACAUCAGAUGUGAGGAACAUAUGUGAAACUGAAAACCACUUGUUUGUCACAUUUUCCCUCCCCAUUUUAUAGUCUAGGUGUAAGAAGAAAAAGUUCUGAGCAAUACAGUUGUCACAUUGGGACAACUGCUCUCACGCUUGUUUUUUUUUUUUUUUUUUAUUCCCCUCAUUGGC